GCGGACGUGGUGCAUGGUGCACCACUGCCUUGUAUGAGGAAGUAGGUGCGAGAUGCAAGCAGUUGGGGGCUCGACUCCCCGCGUCCGCC